rnacentral:lncRNA from 1 species
GGGAUAUCACACUUCUUAAAAACUUAAAUAGAUAAAUAAUAAUUUACCCUUCAUCAACAAAAUAGCAGCGGAAUUAAUUCAACAUCAUAAAAAGUAUUGGCAUGUAGGCCUCAUCAAAAUAUCUAAUAAACUCAGUUAAACAACUUAUUCAUAAAUUAAAUACGUAAAGGAACAAGAAAUAGCCACAAAAGAUCUCAUCCAGUUACGUAUCAGAGCACCUAAAGGACACAGUGAGGGAUAACCACUCACGACAGCAACUCCAACUACUUAAACUUGAUCACCUACAAGUUACUCAUACGAAGAGCAACAUUACCAAGCAGAAGGGGUGAGAUUUCACAAAACAAUAAUAUUAAGCAUAUAAUUCAACAAUUAUAUUUAACAACAUAAAAACAUCUUAUUAUACAUCAUAGAUAAUAAUAUAUCAAUCAUCACUUCAUUCAUAAUAAUCACAACUUCACAACUUAUCAUUUUCGACUCAACAAUGCAACUAUGCAACUUAGACAUCUUAUAUGCAUGUGGUACCAAUACAGGGCAUCAAGUCCCCAUCGCUAUUUGAGUAUUAAUAUACUUCCAGGGCAUCAAGCCCCCAUCGCUAAUUGAGCUAAAGCUCCAACGUGGUGAGUACAAAGCUCCAGGGCAUCAAGCCCCAACAAUGAAAUGCUAAUGCAUGGACUCGACCUCUUAAACAUCUUAAUUCGACAACCUCUUAUAUAAUCCAAUAAUUUGGAACAUCAUCAUCUUCAUCAACUUAGACUGACUCAUGCAGCUUAGUUAAAUAACAACAGCAACAUAGGCAGUAUACAAAAACAGCAUGACAUAAUAAUAUCAAUUGCAAUUCAUCAACAUCUUAAAUAUUCAAAUAUUCUUCAAGUAAUGCAUAUAACAUUAUAUCACAUCAUAAUCAACAUCAACACAUCUUAAACAGCUUCACAAAUUAUAAUUAACAUCAUCAUUAAGUCUUAAUGCUAUCCCAAGGUUCAACUGUCGACAACUCGUGCAACAAAGGUCGCAAAAUCUAACAAGGCACUCUGAUUCUAGGUCACUCGCGAGGCGAGAGCCUCUGCUCGCCGUGGCGAGUUCAGGUCAGAAUGCCACAAGUUUCAUUCCAGGUUCAGUCUCAUCCUACAUUCUUUCCUAAUCAUUAUUAGACAUUUUCAGGCACUCAAAAGCAUAUAAGGAUCAACUCAAAAGUCAAAAUCACGAAAUCUUGCAUGCUCUCUGGUCAAGCUCGCUAGGCGAGUUCAUCUGCUCACUAUGGCGAGCUGCGACGUGCAACUCGCGAUGCGGGGAAAGGUUACUAGCGUGGCGAGUGAUGAAGUUCAUCACUCGCCGUGGCGAGGAUCAUAGCUCAGGAGGCGAGCGAUGAAUGUCGCUACUGGCAAAAGUGGAGUUUUUAUGAAAAAUCAUCAACUCUCAUCGUUUUAAGCCUAAUCUUGAUUCCAGAAUUCAUCAUAAUCAUUAUCUAAGGUCUAGGGACAAUUUCCACAUCAAUCUAACAAUUUUUCACCAUUUAAUCAUCAGUUCUACCAAUUUGACCUAAUUUCCGAUUCCUCUUAAACUCAUCAUAAUUCAUGUUAAAUGUAACUGUUGAUUCACAAACUUAAUAGAAUUGCAAAGUUAGUCUCACCCUUACCUUAUAGAUGAAAAUCGCAGCCUCUAGGUCUUCUCCCUCUUCUCUUGGCUUUUUCUCCCUUUUCUCCAAAAUUGAUCGUACGUACGUUAUGUUUUUCUAAACUAGGUUUCCCUAUUUAUAUCUCCUCCAAUUAUCUUAUCUUAUUUCUCUUUCUCCCCCAAAACUCUCUAAAAUCUCAAAACAACCCCUAAACUCAAUAUUUAUUUUAUUUUCAAAUCUUAUUUUAUUAAACAAUAAAACAAGUCACAACUCCUCAUAAAAUCAUAUAAAACCACCUCAAUCAUAUAAACCUCUUAAAUCACACAUAUAUCAUAUAAAUAUAAUAUAAACUCAUCUAAAUAACUUCUAGACUCAAUUAAAUAAUUCAAAACGGGCGUUACUAACCGCUGUCUAGGUACCAUGAUUUUUGCUUUACUUUUGCUCUUAGACAUAUUUGUAAUAUUAACAUUUUCAGAUUUAGGUACCCAUUGUCUAAUGGGUCCUUUAAGGUUAGUACUAUAAGUUUUACUCUUCACUUCUUGUGCCUUGUGCUGAGAGUUUGAUUGCUUCUGGUUACUCAUUGCCUUAGGUUUAAUACAUCUUCGUUCCCAAGUAGCAACAACUGUUUUCUUCCUUUGAAACUUGGACUUUAAGAUUCCAGCUUCUAGUUACAACAGACUCUGAGGAACAGGUUCUGAUGUCUUUAGAAUCUUAAUAUUUGAAGUCUUAGAAUCAGAAUUUGUCAUUGCCUUUGGCUUAAAGUUCUUUGGCUUUGAAGUAAUCUUAUCCUCAAAGCUAGUAGCUUCAGGUUCUGACUGAACAACAGUUUUACUCUUAGCACCUUCAAGUACAAAGAAGGUUUUCAACCCUUCCUUGAUGCAUUCACAACAUGCUUUAAGACUGAUUUCAUUAGGUUUCCCUUCUGAAAAUCCAAUCCCUUUACCAUUGUUUCUGUAAAUGCUCUAAAUCAUAGAAGCAACUUUGCUACUGUCAAUACCAGACAUAAUCAACUCCACAUGAGCAAUUUCUUGUUUACUUAAAGACUUUCCAUUACACUUUUCUUGUAGCUUAUGACAAAGAUGCUUUAGUUUUUCUUCAUAAGUUCUACAAAUGAAGUCAAACCCUUUAAGUCAUUCUUCAACAGAUGUCAGAUCCAAUAUAGUUGAUUCUUGUUGUUUCAUGAAAACAACAUAUCUUUCUUUUAAAUCUUUCAACUCAUUGGUUCUGUAUUCAAAGUGUGUAAGAAGAUCUUUAAGAGACUCAAUAAGUUCUUCUCUGGGAAUUUUAGAAUAUACCUCAUUUUUAUCUUCAGAAUAUGAAUCGGGAUCUGCUUCUAAAGUCACAGUAGCCACUAACCCAACAACUACUUUUGCAUCUUCUUUAAUUUCUUCCUUUUUAGAGUUUGAUUCACUGUCUAAAUUUUCCCAGGUCGCCAUUAAACUCUUCUUCAUCUGCUUCCUGAAUUUCCUUGUGUUGAAGUUUGCCUUCUUUGAGUUGUCCUUUGAUUUCUCCUUAUGAAGAUCAGGGAAAUCAGCAAUGAAAUGUCCAUGCUUCUUACACAAAGCAAUUAUACUUGUUCCUUCCACAAAUGAUCUUUUGCCUUAUAUGAUUAUUGUCCUAUGAAAGAUCAAUUUCAAAACCAUUCCCAGUAUGUAGGAACAUUGUUGCAGGCAGAGCAGUUAUCCUUGUCUAGUAGCAGAGACACAAACUGAGUAGUAGAGAUGGUGGUUGUACACUUCGUACAAUUUGUACUAUGUCAACGCUCUUCAAAGAACAAGCAUCCAAUGCCUUCAAGUCCUUUCAAAAUAAUUGGUGCUUCACUCCUCUGGUCUUUUGCAAUUCUUGGACGAGAUUGAAUCCAUUGAACAAUCUUUUGAAGCUUUAAGUCUUGCAUCUCCUGAUGAACUUUAGCUUCUGAUGAGAUGGUUCUGAUGAACUUGCUUCUGAUGAUGUCAUCACUUCAUGAGCACUUUUGACUUCAGGAGCACAUCUCUUCAGAUGCUUCAAGCUUCCUUUUUGUUGAUUCCUUAGCUCUCAAUUCGCUCUUUAAGAAACCGAAUAAUGAUAUCAAAUUUUUGUCUAUGGUCUUGUACACUUGAACAAAUAUUAGCAUAUCCAAUUGACAAUUUUUUAAUACUCAGUUAUCAUCAAAACUCUGAAAGUGUAAUGUUAAACAAAUUUUGUUCCAACAUGGUAUUCCUCUAUACUUGGAAUGAAUUUGAAAUUGUUCCUUCAUAGGACAAUAACCAAAUCAGGAAAUAGAUCAUCGGUGAUUUGAUCAAGCUUUAAAUGACUCUUUUUUGAUGUGUUGGCAAUCAACGUCUCUUUCACACCUCUAUAUAAAGGAGUGGAGAACUGAAGAAUUGCAAGACUCUUACAACAAUUUACUAGUGCCAAAAUUCUAAGUCAACAUCAAAGUUCACUUAGAAUUUCUUAACAACUUUCAUAUCUUGGAAAUUCUGGAGUCUUAAAGAGUCUGUAUCUGAUUUGUCUUGUGAACACCACUGAUUGUAUAUAAAGUGUUCAACCUCAAAAAAAAAUAUUUGUAAUUCUGUUUGAAUAGAAGUCUCUUGCAGUUGAGCUUGAGCAUAGGAAGCCUCUUGAUUUAGUUCUUGAGCAUAGGAAAUCUCUUGUAGUUGUGCUUGAGUAGUUUGAAGUCUCUUGCUAGUUUUAGAAGUGAGCAGUUAUAAUCAGAUAUUACAUUUUAGUGAACUCUCCUUGGAAGUGCAAGGGGGACGUGACUACUUCCGGUUUGUGGAAGGAACCUGUAUAAUUGUUUAAUGUCUUUCUUCUCUCUCUCUCUCUCUCUCUCUCUCUCUCUCUCUCUCUCUCUCUCUAUGUUUUAUCCGCUGCAUUUAGAUUUUCAACCCCCCUCUUUUGUUUUUCUCACCUUCACACUUUACCUCUAUCUUUGGCUAAUUGUGCGAUUUUUCCCCAGUAACACCAACAAACACAAACACAAUAAAAAAUCAGCCCAAAGCCCGUCACAAACCCAAACCAAAAACACAGGGAUAAAUAGAUCCACAAAAACCAGCAGUCACGAACUCAAUAAAAAGGGUAUAAUCUUGAAUUGUAGAGAUAGGGAAGAACAUGAGAGGAUAAGAAGGGGUAGAGAGAAUAGAAAGGAAAAAAUGAAAGAAAUCAAAAAGUGGAGGGUAUUUAUAACCCUCCCUAAUCUGGUGGACGAAGGUGCAUGCUUUAGCAUGGACCCUCGCCUUCCUGGCCUUUAGAUCUUGAUCUAACAGUCUGUAGCGUUUUCCCAUCAGAUCAGAUUACGACCAUUAAUCAAAUCAACGACCCAGAUCUAAUCUAGUUAGCCCAUGCGCAUUUGGCUCCUUUCUGACCCAAUCUAUUUUUUUACUUCCUGCACCCCCCCCCCCUCUUUUAUUAUUUGCACCCCCUGUCAUUUACUUUUUAUUUUCAUGCAUUUUAUUUUUUUAUCAUUUUGCAUUCCAUUUUAUUUUUGUUUAUUAUCAUUAGCAUUUUAAUAUUUUUUUUUCAUUUAUCAAUUUUGUAAUUAGAAUGUAUUUUAGGAAAAUUGUAAAUAUAAAGAAAAGCAUGCAUCAUCUUUAUUUAUUUAUUUAUUUAACUUUUAUAUACUGAAAAAUGCUACAAAAAAAAGGUUUAGUUUAAUAUCCAAGGGAAAGGGGAGUCGUUUUGACCUAGUGUCACUACGGAAUUCUCUCGCGAUUAAUUCAGCGUCGCUCUAAUUUUAGGCUUUUAUAAAUAAAUAAAUAAAAAGCAAAAAACAUUAAAAUAAUCAUAAAACAAAUUUCACAAAAAAGGAAAUUCUUUUCUAAAAACCUUGAUUUUCAAUAAAGUGAUUUUCCACUUUAAUAUAUUUAAACCCUUUCUAGCGUCCUCGUGAGCAUAGCUCAAUUGGUAUGGACAAUUCAUAAAAUAUGAAGGUCCGGGGUUCAAACCUAGACCACCACAAAAAAAAACCCGUUCUAGAAAUAAAUAAAUAAAACAAACAAAUUUUGUCUUUGCCAUUUGGCUUUUAUUUUUAAACCUUUUCAAAAAACUAAUAAAAAACAUCAAACAAAUCACUCGGCUUUAUAGCCCGAACUACGUGGUUUUGAUCCAUCACGGGUACGUAGGUAAAAUACCUCUUCUUUCCGAAUCAAUAAAUAAUAAAAAAUAUUUUUUUGUUCCCCUCAUCACACUAAUCUUUUUACAGGAAAAUAAUAAAUAAUUUUAGCCAAAAAAAUAAAUAAAUGCAAGAGGUUCCUAUAGAGUACUAUAGAUGUUUAGGGUGCUAAUACCUUCCACUUACGUAACUAACCCUCGAACCUUAAAUCUCUAAAAAUUGUGGGUUUAUUCGAACUUUUUCCCCAUUCCCUUUGAAAAAAUUAAAGCUCGGUGGUGAACCUAAAUUUGUCAGUCAACGCUAAUCAAUAGCUUGAUCUCUGAAAAUCACCGCAAUAUAACCACUUAUUAUCCCAAAAUAACUUAAACCAGAUUAUCGCAUAAAAACCCAAGUUGCUUCCCAAAACCUUUCUCAAUGAAGACUUAUAACCAAAAAUAGAAGUUUAUCUAAUCUAUCUCAACACAACAAUAUCAACAAUUCACCACAAAUCAUUCAUAAUCUCAAUUCACCAUUCAUAACCCCUUUUCUCCAAAACUCAUUAAAUUAACAACAACUUAACAAUAACUUCACCAAUAACAACACUCAAGGUAUAAACCAUCACCACGGACACAACAUAACAUUAAUCAAAGCAUAAUCUCACAAUUUUGUCAACAAUCAAUAACAACAACUUCAUUUUUACCAAUUUAAGCAAAAAUCAUCAAACCAACUUAUCAACAACAACAACCAUGAGUUUUAAGCCCAUAAUACAACAAUUUUAUGAAGUUUAUCAUACCCUUAAAUUCACCUGAAUUAGGAACAGGAAUUUCAUCUUUCAAAAAUAUAAAAAGUCACAAUUAUCACAAAAGCACUUAAACUCAUAAGUGAAAAUACUAGAUAAUGACUUAAUUAGUGAAAAGAGACUAAUUAUCUCCCUUACCUCUACUCUUCAACAAUUCAAUUUGUGGCUUCAAUUUUGCUCCUAGUCACCAACUGCAAGCUUUCUCUUCUUAGUUCUUCUUUGCUCUUCAAGAUCUCCUUUCUCUCUCUACCUCUAUCUUGAAAUGUUUUCUGAAAGUGAGUAAAUGAAGGUAAUGGCAUGAUUUCUCUCCUUUCUCUCUCUACAUCUAUCUUGAAAUAUUUUGUGAAAGUGAGUAAAUGAAGGUAAUGGCCUGAUCUCUCAUAAGACUAGUGUUUAUAUAGUCUCUACUCAAAUGGGCUCAAACCCUAGUUGUCAUAAUAGGCUCAAUAUUCUUAUUAUCUAAUUCACCGAUUUACUACACACUUAACCAUCGAAAUAACGAGUAAUUAUUUUCUUUAAAUAAUUAUCAUCACUCACUAGUAACUUAGUAAAAAUAAUUAUUCCCACUUAAAACACUAAAAAUAAUUCUCGUAAUCAAAAGACUAUUUUCCCCUUCUCACCUAAUAACCAAAAUACCUCUGAGUCUAAAAUGACUAAAAUA